UACGUAGGGUGCGAGCGUUGUCCGGAAUUAUUGGGCGUAAAGAGCUCGUAGGUGGCCUGUCGCGUCGGCUGUGAAAACUCGGGGCUCAACUCCGGGUCUGCAGUCGAUACGGGCGGACUCGAGUUCGGCAGGGGAGACUGGAAUUCCUGGUGUAGCGGUGAAAUGCGCAGAUAUCAGGAGGAACACCGGUGGCGAAGGCGGGUCUCUGGGCCGAUACUGACGCUGAGGAGCGAAAGCGUGGGGAGCGAACAGG
rnacentral:rRNA from 1 species